UAUUAUGCCAACAAGAUUUAUCUUUAAACUGCAUUCGGUGUGACUUAUCGGGCAGUGAUGGGCUGUGGGAACCACACUGCGGCCAAUGGGAGAAUCCAAAUUGUGCAACAUACAGAAUCCCCUCCUCUGUGGGAUCAAAGCCAGAAGCCUGGGAGUCCAGGCACCUCAUUGUGAUGGACGACAGUACGGAAAUUCAAACCGUGCCAAAUCCAGGGAUAAUCAGCGCACGGGAUUAAAUCCUCAACCAGCACCAUCUACUGGCACAGUAAGAAUCAUUAUGGUCACCAGGCAGAGGGAUUUGAGCUCAGCAUUUUGCUCCGUCUGAUGUCAUUAUCAGUCAACAUGCCGGAAUUUGCAGUGACGCCAGAGACGAGAAGUGGAACUGCACUUAAGCACUGGUGUAUGUGCUUCAAUCUUAGUUUAGACUAAAAACAAUUUUGGGACUUUAUUGGUAGCUUGUUUAUUUAUUUAUUUUUGAUUAAAGAUAAUCAUUUUUACAUCAUGGUGCUUUGUUUAGAGGUGAUUAGGCUGCCAUUUAUGUGUCACAAAUAUUGGUUCACCUCCUUUUUGAGUCUGGGUCAUAUUGUGGUUUUUCUGAACGUCGACUCUGGCACCUCUGGUUUGUUCACUAGGAAUAAAUAUAUACAUAUCAAAAAAUUACAUCAGGAAUUUUCUAUCUGAAAUUUUUAAAAGGAACAAAAAGG